UACGGAGGGAGCUAGCGUUAAUCGGAAUUACUGGGCGUAAAGCGUGCGCAGGCGGCUUUGCAAGACAGAUGUGAAAUCCCCGGGCUUAACCUGGGAACUGCAUUUGUGACUGCAUGGCUAGAGUGCGGCAGAGGGGGAUGGAAUUCCGCGUGUAGCAGUGAAAUGCGUAGAUAUGCGGAGGAACACCGAUGGCGAAGGCAAUCCUCUGGGCCUGCACUGACGCUCAUGCACGAAAGCGUGGGGAGCAAACAGG
rnacentral:rRNA from 1 species